rnacentral:sRNA from 1 species
AAGCUUGGAACAAAAGGGACAAAAAAGAAAAGGCAUAUUAUGUCCUGCGUAUUAUUUCUGGAAAUUUGUUGCUCUAUCUGCGUCAAGUUUUUUUAAGAAGAGAGUUCUUCAUCUAGUUCUUCAUCUAUUUACCUCGCGUACUACAGGAAAGGGGUUCGCCCUCAAAACUAGCAAUUUCUCUCAAUGCAUCUUUUUUUGACUCUUUUCCUGGCUUCUAUCGUCAGUGGAGGCUGUGGCUUCAUAUAUACUCCCCAAAUUUUAUCCGCAAACGAAUCCGAUCACUGACGAUUUGAUUUUUAGUCUUGUGCAUAUUGGGUGUGCAACCCCCCUUUUUGGGUUCUAUUAUCUCUUUUCUUCAAGUUCGCUGCAGGGCAAUGUCUUUCACAUUAAACUGCAUUUCAAUUUCAUAAGAAAGGAUUAUAUACAUGAUAGAUUUUCGUUGUUAACCUUUCCUUAACAAUAUACGAUUUUGUUUUAAAAAAAAAGUGA